ACCCGCUGAAUUUAAGCAUAUGAAUUAAGCGGAGGAAAAGAAACUAACUAGGAUUCCCUCAGUUAACGGCGAGUGAAGCGGGACUAGCUCAGGAUGUGAAUCUGCGCUUUUAUGGCGCCGAAUUGUGGUCUGUAGACUUUGACGUUAUCUGCCGGGCCAAGUUCCUUGGAAAAGGACAGCUGAGAGGGUGAAACUCCCGUCCGCCUGGUAGAAUGAGUCUUUGUCAACGAGUCGAGUUGUUUGGGAUUGCAGCUCUAAUUUGGUGGUAAAUUCCAUCUAAAGCUAAAUAUUGGUGGGAGACCGAUAGCGUACAAGUACCGUGAGGGAAAGAUGCAAAGAACUUUGAAAAGAGAGUUAAAGAGUACCUGAAAUUUGCUGAAACGGAAGCGAAGGAAACCAGUGUUUGUUGGUUCAUAUUUCCCUGGCCACUUGUGGUUUGGGCGCUGUGAGCUUGCGUGGGUUUGGGUUGGUUGAUCCCUUUGGAAGAGCGCAGUCAGAGUUGAUGUCUGUUGCUAGCACUGGGUUUGACUGAUGCAGACGAAAUGGUUUUCUUUUACCCCGUCUUGAAACCACCGGACCAAGGAGUCUAACAUAUGUGCGAGUACAGGGGUGUCAAACCCCGGUGCGUAAUGAAAGUGACAGUGGUUGGAUAUUUUGCACAAUCCGCCGGCCUCAAUCCUUCGGGAGAACGGUCUGAGUGUGAGCAUACAUGUUGGGACCCGAAAGAUGGUGAACUAUGCCUGAAUAGGGUGAAGCCAGGGGAAACUCUGGUGGAGGCUCGUAGCGAUUCUGACGUGCAAAUCGUUC
rnacentral:rRNA from 1 species